CUCUCUCUACAUGCACGCUGCUACGCACCCACUACUGUCAGUCGCACAGUCAAAUAAACCCCUUCCUUUCUUACUAUCCCAUUUAAACCCCCCAAAACCCACACUCCUCAUUGAUAACCUCAAAUACACUGGCACCUCGAAGAGGGAUUCCCUUUUCUUUUCUUUUCUGGUUUUCUUUUCUUUUCUAUUGAACCAGGGGAUUCCCUUUUCUUUUCUUUUGUGGUUUUCUUUUAUUUUCUUUUGAACCAGAGGUAGAGAGAGAGUACUUCGAAAAAGCUCCUCAACUUUUUCUUCUUUUUUUUUCUGUAUUUUUCUUUGCCAUCGACAAUGUCAGGGCUCUACACCCACAACUUCUCUCCUUCCAAAGCCGUCUCUCCUCAAAUAAGAAGCACCCCAGACCAUGACAGCCAGUAUUUGUCUGAGCUUUUGGCUGAACAUCAAAAGUUAGCCCCCUUCACGGAAGUCCUCCCUAUCUGUAGCCGUUUACUGAACCAGGAGAUUUUGCGAGUCUCUGGUAGGAUGCCCAACAAAGGUUUUGGGGACCAUGAAAGGCUUCACCUUGCGAGUCCAGUGCCAUUUCCCAAUCUUAAUUUAGGUCUUGGAGGAACAGGCUUUGGUGCUUGGAAUGGUCUUCAACAAGAGCGAUUGGGAUUGCCGCAAACUAUGACAAUGGAUUGGCAAGGUGCUCCUGCAAGCCCAAGCUCUUAUAGUAUAAAGAAGAUUCUACGCCUUGAACUUCCACUUGACAACUACCCUAAUUUCAAUUUUGUUGGUCGUCUGUUAGGGCCCAGGGGCAAUUCACUUAAAAGGGUUGAAGCAUCAACAGGGUGUCGAGUUUACAUCAGAGGCAAAGGAUCAAUAAAGGAUUCCGAAAAGGAAGAAAAAUUGAAAGGAAGACCAGGGUAUGAGCAUCUUAAUGAGCCACUGCACAUAUUAAUCGAGGCUGAGUUACCUGUUGAUAUUAUUGAUUCAAGGCUGAGACAGGCUCGUGAGAUCAUAGAAGAAUUGCUGAAACCUGUGGAUGAGUCUCAGGACCAUUACAAGAGGCAGCAACUGCGUGAGUUGGCAUUCUUGAACUCAACAUUCAGAGAAGAUAGCCCCUGCCCAAGCGGCAGCUUAUCUCCCUUCAAUAACAGUGGUAUGAAACGAGCAAAGACGGGUCGGUAAACAUCCUCAUUUCCUUUUUGGUGAAUGCAACUCCACAAUGGCUACGCCCUUAGCUUUUCUCAACAGCUGAAAUCUCACUGCGAAUGCGAUUUGAGGUGAUGAAGUGAGAAUUUCCAUAUGAGGAUUUGAGGUGAUGCUUUACUUUGUUUUUGUUUUCAUCGAGCCUAGACGUGUACGAACUGUUGUUCAUGAGUUCGGGUUAAAUAAGGCAGCUGUUCGCCACUGACUGAACAAGUUACUAAUCAGGGCUGGCUGUUCCUAAUGAAUAACCUGCUGUCCACCGAAUGCCUUUGGUAGUUUAAGUGCUUGCAUUUGUUUGUGAAUUUUAUGAUGAUUACACUUACAUGUGGGUGUGUAUAAUUUGUAUAUCAUCAUGUUUAUGUUAGGAAAGGGGCUGGAUCAUGGUGGUAGCAUCUCCACACUUAGUUACUACAUCGUGGUAUCUAUUCUUACCGUUGAUGUUUUCAAUUAACACUUUCAAAAUGUAACUCCUUAAUCUAUUACCCAAAAAAAGAAAAAUGUUUAUGUUUUUU